rnacentral:lncRNA from 1 species
GAGACAAGGCUAUGGGCGGCGGGCGGGGACGGCUGUCCCUCCCUCAAGGAGUGGAGUUAGCGAGGCUGCGCUGGGGUGCUCCGUUGCCGAGGAUGGGCCGAGUUCGAGGCGGCAAAGGAAUUGUCUGCCAGGCUUCUGGAGGCACCUGGGCCGUGUGGGUUCACAGCGGUCAUCCAGGGAAUGGAUGGACAUGCUCCUGCAGUGCUCGGCCAAGCUCAGCCCUUGUUCAGCACACCAGCCCUGUGAGCCACGCUGUCCCUGGAGCCUGGCUCGGAGGAUGCGAGGAGGAUUCUCCAGCAGGCAAGCAUGGUCAGAGGGGCCACUGGGUCGCCAGAUGGAGUCCCUGUGCCGAUCCCACAGUACACGGAGAGGAGCAGAAAAGCGGCUGGCACCUCGUCCUUGACGUGCCCCAUCGCACUUCCUUCUCCCGCCCACGAGGACCUCGGUAAUGUCGCCCCUGAAACUGCUGCGGAACCUGGAGCCCACUGUAACCCAGAAUUGGAAUCCCAGCUCAGCCCCUGCACACCUGAUUGCCCGGAGAAAUGCCUUAUUCCUGACAGCCUCUUGGUUCUUUUCCGUCUCCGGUUAGGUGAGAAGGUCAAUCUGGCCCUGCGGGUUAUGUUGGGGGUUACAUGAGAACCUCAUUGGCAUGAAGAGGCCAGGCAGGUCCUCCGACAGUGCCACAGCCCCAGGCUUGUGCCGCCAAAUCACGGAGGCCUUCCGGGCCCUGAACACGAACCGGACGGGGCCUUCCCGCAUUACUACCCGAAUGACACUGCUGGGGGGACCGCUCUCUGGAUGCCAUUGUGGCCACGUGUCGGGACGGUCGGCUGCUUGACUCCACGACUUAAAGCUAGAUUUGGCCUUUUAA